CAGAGUGGUAUCGAUGUGUCCUG
rnacentral:piRNA from 1 species